CUAGCACCCCCAGGUGGCAAGUCGAGUGGACCACUGUGGUGAAGAGAGAUAGCGAGAAAACUAGUCCGAACCGGCCCAAUCCAGUACUCCGAGCAGGGGUCCGGAUCGUUGGUUUUACUGUGACUGGGUAACCAGAGCUGGGGAAUCUCGUCUCUGAAUAUUGUCAGAAAUUUGUUUUUUUUUCAAUAUAUUGUGUAUACAAAGAGCUGUAAAUUUUGUGAUAACAAUUAAUUCUGAGGUAUAUUUGUCAUUUAUAACAACCCUAGCAUGUAUAAUUAUUAUUUUUGAGCGGUUAAUGAGAUUGUAUGUUGGUAUCUUGAAUUAACACUGCCAUACAUUGUAAGUUAUUAAUUUCAAGCAAUAUAAACUUGUGGAGUGUUGAUAUUAACCAUUAAUAAAUAGAUUUUUACCAGUUAUUUUUGCCAGAAAUGUUGCAUGAACAAAAACCAUUUUUUGUGCUUCAAACACAGUGCUUUAAUUUUAUAGAAUUAUUUCAUGGUCAUUAGCUGCUCUUCUCUGCCAUGUGGACCAAAUAUUUUCCUAGAUUAUAUGUUUAUUAUUUUGCUCCUGAUUUGUUUUAUUUCUAUGGUGAUCAGGUGAAAGUUUACUUGUUGUUUUUUUUAUGGUAAAAAAGUCACUGGCCCAAUGGAUUUUGUUUGUAUAGUCCAUUUAAACACUAAGCUGUAAAUUUUAAAUAAUAAGUUGUAUUAUAUGUGAGCUUGAAUAAAGAAAUAUCUCCAUU
rnacentral:misc_RNA from 1 species